CCAAAAAAAAACCCAAACCCCACACAAAAAACGCUUCUCUCGAUCACAUCUCGAUCUCCGAAAGAGCUUCGUUGCCCCUGCCGACGUACGGGAGAGCUUCCUUGCCGCCGCCGACGUACGAUCUGCCGCGAUCUCGUUCGAUCUACCCGCUGCCGAUGUACGAGAUCGCCGACACCGAGAUACGGGAUCGCCGCCAACGUACGAUCUGCCGUCUCUCGCUGCCGCCGUGGUACGAUCUGCCGUCUCUCCCAGAGGAGGCGCCGCCGCGGACGUCCGGGAUCACCGCCGCCGACCUGCCAGAGGAGACGCCGCCUCCAAUCUCCUAGAGGAGCCGCCGCCGCCGCCGGUCUCCGACGGGAGACGCCGUCGCCGGUCUCUGACGGGAGACGCCGACCUUUGAGGGGAGACGCCGCCGCCACCUGCGCUGAACCCCAGGGCAGGGUGCGACGAUCGUCGCAAGGAGUACUUGCCGGCCGUACACAGGUAUUCUGAACCUUACCAUCCUAUUCUCAUCAUUCACAAAUGUGUUCAGAUAGUUGUUGCUUGUGUCGUUCCUGUUACUAGAGGAGGGCUCCACUGUGGCCAUUCGCCACUCUGCCUGCAAGCUCGACGCCACAGUUUGACAGGGCCAAGGUGGUAGUAGACGAUGACGAAUAUGGCGCCCUGGCUGUCUCAGUUCAUGAGAUUCCCCUAUGGUGGCCGAAUUUGUAACACACCAGGCUGCUCCCCUCGUAUUGCAAAUCAGAGCUAGCUUAUAUAUUCAUCCAUAGGUCAUGGCUGACUCCAAAGGCAACACUCCUCCUGUGCGUGAUGGCAAAGCUAUGCUACAUGAUAUUAUCACGUUAUCAUAUUGCUCACCAAGUCACUAGGCCAGCUUUUGCUGUACUUUUUCUUCAUUUUGUUCAGAUUUAUUUCAUGCCCCAAUGUUCUGUUAUGUGCAGCUAUGUGAUUUUAUUUGAAGAACCAUGCAAAGCAAUUUGAGAUGAUGCAUAUAAAGCAUAUUCGAUUUAUUAAGUGUUUUCAAGUAUUCAAUUUAUUAAGAGUUCACUCAUCAUUGCCGACCGUACACAGGUAUUCUGAACCUUACCAUCCGAUUUUCAGAAUAAGAGUUGUCUGUAUAAUUCAUGGUGGUUAAAACAGCAGCAUCUGUAGAAUUCCCCUUUGUCCAUGUUGUACCUACAAUUUACUACUAUAUUUGUAGUGCUACUUCAUUUGAAUUUUGUAACCAAAAUAAAUGCAGGCGAGCGAUUCAGGGUUAUUGUUCGAAGUGGCUAUAAUAUGUAGGGGUUAUUGUUCGAAGUGGCUAUAAUAUGUGGCUGCAAACUUGCCGAGGCCAGCAUAAGGAGUGAUGGAGUUAUCUUCUACUUUUAUUUGUUCAUGUUGUCUCAACAAACUGACUUGUGUUUAUGGCGACUUUUUUAUGUGUCCAUGGAUCAGAGAGGAUGGAUGAUGCAGUGGCCACAUCAAGCGCCCUGUGCUCGACGACAAUGGAAAUGCAGUUUCUCAGAGCUAGCAGGAAGGAGGCUGAUGGCUUCCCGUUGUAGUAAGAGACAACACACCAGGUUCUAUUUCUUGUUUUUUGAAGAUCAUACUAGGUUAUAUGUGAACAAAAUCUGAACUGUGAUUUUUGAUGUUUGAGAUGUCUAUAAGUGUACAAAUAGAAAGGCGCCAAUUAAUUGAUCAUCAAAUUCAGAAUAGUAUGUGUGCAGUAGCUUCUAUCUCAAUUUGGUUUUUAUGUUGUUUGUGUUUGAAUUAAUUAGCACCCCAUACCAUCGUGUUUCUUCAGCCUGCAAGGUGAUUAGCACUCAGCAAACUAUUGGAAAGAUGUUGCUACCUUGUUUUUUUUCAAACUCGACAUGCACGUGCAAGAAUAGGUAUGGCUACAUGCUUUCUAUAUCUAUCAGGUUCAUAAAGCAUUUUGGAGAGGUGCAUCUUGUUGGAGAGGUCUGGUAUGUAUUUAAUUGAAGAAAACAAAAGUUUUUGAUAGAAUAAAGAUUGAUGAAAAUUUGGACUUACUCUACCAGGGACAAUUUUCAUGAUAAAUUAUACGAAGUUUGUAUCUUGGGGACAUCUUCAUGCCGACUUACGUUAAAUAUUGGGAUAUGUCCCCUCAUGUGCCAGUUUUGAGAUUUUGUUAGAAGUACAUGAUCUAUUCUUAGUUCCUGCAUGUUUUUUCACCUUUGUAGAUUUGAGUAUAACUUAAAGUUCUAGAUGCAUAUAAGCUUGUGAGUUAACUAAAGCUCACUUGAUGGUUCUAACUAAAUUCUGCAAAAAUAUGACCAUCAUGGGAUGCCUGCACCAACAACUUUAUAAACUGAACUACGUUUUGCUAGAUGACUCAAAUUUUAGAACGCGGGCAUUAUUUUUUUGGGAUGCAGUUAGCAAUAGAAUCAAGUCAAGCUGAAAACAAGAGAUUGAUUGUUCGAUAUUGAAUUUAAUUCCUUUCUUGCAAAAGCACCUUAUGAGUGAGGAGAUUAUUCAAUAUUGUAUUUUAUUCCUUUCUUUUACCCACUGUUCUAUAUUGCAUGCUUGCACCUGAUCAGGUUUCUAACUCAAUUCAUUUUUGUUAGAUCCGUUGAUGAAGAAAACCACACAUUUCACGAUAUGAUGAUUGGUACUUCCAGUUUUGUUGUACUCUCUCAUUUGCCUUUGUGGGAACGACACUGCUCUAUUGCUUGCUUAUUUAAGAUCAUGCAUAUAUGCCGCAUGUCAGCCUCAUGGGGAUCAAACAGAUGAGGAGAAGGAAGCAGCAAGGAAGAAGGUAGAGGAGAUGGACACCUGAUCUGCAAGUUCCUGAAUUUCAACGUUUAUUGCGUGUUGCUGUGUUAAUAUUGGGUGCAGCAAUUUCACAACUCUGGGAAGAGCAUCUGCUGGAGGGCGUCACCUGCGGCAUCACCUGCAUCGACCUCUCGCUGAUUACCAUCCCAAGGAUGCGCGACUGACUGGCGAAGCAGGGCUUCAGUGAUAAGUUCACCGAUUUGGUCGACUCACCGUUCCCUUCCUCUGUCCACGCAAUGCCGCUCGUUGUUGUUAGGUGCUUCCACCUUCCAAACUACAAGGUCUGCAGCCUUAGAUGAACAACUACAGCUUUAUUUGCCCGAGGAUGAUUUGAUUGUGCAAGUAAGCCUACAUAAUUUCCCUUGUGAUUUAUAUUUAUCGGCGAGGUCUCUGUGGCUUGCGAGAAAUCAUGUAUUGACAUAAAUGAGAAGAACCUACAAUAAGUAACUCCACUGAAUUUGUGAGAUAUCUGUAGCCGGUACAACAUACAACUUGAUGGAGUUUGUUAGAUCAACCGUAGAAGUUCUAUAUGUGUGUUCAGUGCAGAUAACUAGAUAUUAUUAUAAUAUUCUCUCAAGUUUAAGCUUAUCCAAUUAGCAGAAGUCUUGAGAAAAUUCAAGACAUACGUAAGAUGCACAUGGACCACGAGUCUUUCAACAUGGCAGGGCGCGUAGUGGCAUGCGACAAGCAACAUAUGUUGAAAGAGACCAUUGAUCACUACUUGGACCUAAAUUUUUCCGUCAGUUAUUAUUGUUACAAUCAUGUAUCAUUGUUUUCACCAUGUUUGCAAAUAUUUUUUUCCUCUGACGAUUGUGUGCAAGUUUGCAGGGAAUCCAAAGCAAUGCAUAAAGUGGGAUAUUUUUCUUUUAAUUUAUGCACUCAUGAAAUGAGAAAGAACUAAAUCAACCAAUUUGCAGGGUGACUAUUCAUUGUUUCAUAAUUUUAUAUUCUUCCAUGUUAAUACUCCAAGAUGACGACUUAUAAUGCUCAUAUAGGAUGGUUGCGAGCUAAGGAAGUGAUUUUUGGUGCACCUUCUCGUCUGCUCCCGCGAGCGGCGAGGCGAACCCUAGCGUGCCUCCUCCAGCCUCCCUCCCUCUCUUGCCGGCGUCGGUGGCGGCGGGGCAUCUUCCCCUUCCUCAUGGUGGGCCGGCGCGGGACGGCGACUCGAAGCGGAGGCGCGCAGUUCUACAGGACGGUGCGGCGGCCGGGCCGGCACGAUGGUGGCGUCCUGGGUCGGCGGCGCGGGCGGCUGCUCAUCGGGGGCGUGGUGGGGCGUGCCUACGCGGGUGGCGGCUCUGAGCGUCCUGGCCAGAUCUGGAUCGGGCGGGUGCUCUGGCCGGCAGCCAGCACGCGGCGCGGGCUGAGGCGGCAAGGGCACAUGCAUGCCUCCCACUUAUAUUAUGCGGUAGGGGUUAGUCUGUUUAGUUAUGUCUGAGCGGAAUAAUUUUCCUACUCAAGAAAACGUGGCAACUUAUGUUUCAUUAGAGAUGGCUUUGUAGCAAAUUGCAUGAUCGAGCGAUUCAUAUUUUUGUCAUCAAGUCGUA